UGGGGAAUAUUGCACAAUGGGGCGAAAGCCUGAUGCAGCAACGCCGCGUGAGGGAAGACGGUUUUCGGAUUGUAAACCUCUGUUUUCGGUGACGAACAAAUGACGGUAACCGAGUAGGAAGCCACGGCUAACUACGUGCCAGCAGCCGCGGUAAUACGUAGGUGGCAAGCGUUAUCCGGAAUUACUGGGUGUAAAGGGAGCGCAGGCGGGAUAGCAAGUCAGCUGUGAAAACUAUGGGUUCAACCCAUAAACUGCAGUUGAAACUGUUAUUCUUGAGUGGAGUAGAGGCAAGCGGAAUUCCGAGUGUAGCGGUGAAAUG
rnacentral:rRNA from 1 species